rnacentral:rRNA from 1 species
AUUGAACGCUGGCGGCCGGCCUAACACAUGCCAGCCGAGCGUGCGGCGGACGGGUGACUCAUGUAUGGGGACUGCCCGAUCGAGGGGGAUAACUACCGGAAACGGUGGCUAAUACCGCAUACUGUCGUAUAACCCAUAUGGGAUUAGCUAGUAGGUAAGGUAAUGGCUUACCGAGGCGACGAUCCCUAGCUGGUCCGAGAAGAUGAUCAGCCAAACUGGGAGAGAGACGCGACCGAGGCUCGUACGGAGUAGGCAGUGGGGAAGAUUGCACAGUGGUAGCAAGCCUGAUGCAGCCAUGCCGCGUGUAUGAAGAAGGACCUAGGGUUGUAAAGUACAUUAAGUCGGGAGGCGUUACCAAAAGAAGAAGCACCGGCUAAGUCCGUGCCAGCAGCCGCGGUAAUUC